CACCUCUCAGAGUCGCACCUGCAGAGAUUCCAGUCCUCUACCAGUCUCAACUACGGGAGGGAGAGUCAAGCAGAGGCCUGACCAUUCCAUUCCUAGCUUGGGCAGUGGCUAGAGAGUGGAAAGUAUUCUGCUACAAGU